UAGGUAAUCUUCGGCAAUGGACGAAAGUCUGACCGAGCAACGCCGCGUGAGUGAAGAAGGUUUUCGGAUCGUAAAACUCUGUUGUUAGAGAAGAACAAGGACGUUAGUAACUGAACGUCCCCUGACGGUAUCUAACCAGAAAGCCACGGCUAACUACGUGCCAGCAGCCGCGGUAAUACGUAGGUGGCAAGCGUUCUCCGGAUUUAUUGGGCGUAAGGCGAGCGCAGGCGGUUUCUUAAGUCUGAUGUGAAGGCACCCGGCUCAACCGGGGAGGGUCAUUGGAAGCUGGGAGACUUGAGUGCAGAAGAGGAGGGUGGAAUUCCUUGUGUAGCGGUGAAAUACGUAGAUAUAUAGAGGAACACCAGUGGCGAGGGCGGCUCUCUGGUCUGUAACUGACGCUGAGGCUGGAAAGCGUGGGGGGCAAACAAA
rnacentral:rRNA from 1 species